CCAGUUUGGGCAGAGGAGAUACCAUGAUCAUGAAGGUACUUUUCCCAGGGCGAGCCUCAUCCAUUACAGUCUGGACGUGCUGACCCCUAUGAUUUCUCCAAAUGCAGGAAGCUGCAUAAUUUGUGAUAGUGAGGGACUAUGUUCUUGCUCUACCCUGA